UACAGAGGCCUCGAGCGUUAGGCGGAAUCACUGGGCUUAAAGCGUGUGUAGGCGGACUUCUAAGUACCUUGUGAAAUCCCACGGCUUACCCGUGGAACUGCUUGGUAUACGUGGUUGUCUUGAGCUUUCUAGGGGCGAGUGGAACAAAUGGUGGAGCGGUGAAAUGCGUAGAUAUCGUUUGGAACGCCAAUGGUGAAAACGAGGUCGCUGGGGAUGAGCUGACGCUGAGACACGAAAGCCAGGGGAGGCAAACGGG
rnacentral:rRNA from 1 species